rnacentral:rRNA from 1 species
CCGGCGACCGGCGCACGGGUGAGUAACGCGUAUGCAACUUACCUAUCAGAGGGGGAUAACCCGGCGAAAGUCGGACUAAUACCGCAUGAAGCAGGGGCCCGCAUGGGGAUAUUUGCUAAAGAUUCAUCGCUGAUAGAUAGGCAUGCGUUCCAUUAGGCAGUUGGCGGGGUAACGGCCCACCAAACCGACGAUGGAUAGGGGUUCUGAGAGGAAGGUCCCCCACAUUGGUACUGAGACACGGACCAAACUCCUACGGGAGGCAGCAG